AGAGUUUGAUCCUGGCUCAGGAUGAACGCUGGCGGCGUGCCUAAUACAUGCAAGUCGAGCGAACAGAUAAGGAGCUUGCUCCUUUGACGUUAGCGGCGGACGGGUGAGUAACACGUGGGUAACCUACCUAUAAGACUGGAAUAACUCCGGGAAACCGGGGCUAAUGCCGGAUAACAUGUUGAACCGCAUGGUUCUACAGUGAAAGACGGUCUUGCUGUCACUUAUAGAUGGACCCGCGCCGUAUUAGCUAGUUGGUGGGGUAACGGCCUACCAAGGCGACGAUACGUAGCCGACCUGAGAGGGUGAUCGGCCACACUGGAACUGAGACACGGUCCAGACUCCUACGGGAGGCAGCAGUAGGGAAUCUUCCGCAAUGGGCGAAAGCCUGACGGAGCAACGCCGCGUGAGUGAUGAAGGUCUUCGGAUCGUAAAGCUCUGUUGUUAGGGAAGAACAAAUGUGUAAGUAACUGUGCACAUCUUGACGGUACCUAACCAGAAAGCCACGGCUAACUACGUGCCAGCAGCCGCGGUAAUACGUAGGUGGCAAGCGUUAUCCGGAAUUAUUGGGCGUAAAGCGCGCGUAGGCGGUUUUUUAAGUCUGAUGCGAAAGCCCACGGCUCAACCGUGGAGGGUCAUUGGAAACUGGAAAACUUGAGUGCAGAAGAGGAAAGUGGAAUUCCAUGUGUAGCGGUGAAAUGCGCAGAGAUAUGGAGGAACACCAGUGGCGAAGGCGGCUUUCUGGUCUGCAACUGACGCUGAUGUGCGAAAGCGUGGGGAUCAAACAGGAUUAGAUACCCUAGUAGUCC
rnacentral:rRNA from 1 species